CCCCCUUUCAGCUGAGCGCACACAACACAGCAUCCACGUGAGUCAGCUUCUUAAAGGCGAAGGCUUGGCCUGUCUAAUUGCGGCAGCUGCGAGACAUCGCACGUCAUUAGCGUCACCAGGUAGCGGCUGGAGCCGAGCUUCCUGAUACCUAGUGAGCCGCGGUGAUGACAAAUGAAAACAAUAAGCUGUUUCCUAGACAAACAGCUGCCUAGGUUUGGAUAAAAGGUAGUCUCUCCUGAUAAUUCUCAACACCUGAUGGACACCUAUUCCAGGAGAACACUCUGCAUCCUGAAGCUCAUUCUGUCCUAAAUGGAUCCCAUAUCUCCUCUCAACGCAGAGACAAAAACAAACAUUCCUUAGGCCUAGGACCAUCACUUCCCUUGUGUCUGUUCAUGGACCACAAUACCUUGCCUGCUUCAAUGGCUGCAAGUGUUUAUCAUCUCUGUCUUGUCUGGGCCCUGCAUACAAGUGACCUGCCCUCAUAUCCAACACUCCAGUUUAGACUCCAGUAACCUCUUACUGGUGGGUUCUAAUAACCUUUUAAUAACUUCCCUCUAUCUUGCCCCUUGCUUUAUAUUGAGAUCAUAUUCAUUGUUUCCCCUCCAUCUUGCUGCCUGGAUCAUGAAUGAUGUCUAUACCACAGGGACCAGGAUGCCAUCUAGGGACAAUGGAGCAAUGAGCUGGGAGGAACCUGGAUCCUGAACAUUGUGUGGAGUACAGCUGUCAUAAGGCUGAGGUUGCAUUGUGUGUGUGUGUGUGUGUGUGUGAGUGAGUGUGUGUGUGUGUGUGUUGUUUACUUUAACCUGAGCUUAUGAGAGCUCUGGGUAAUGUAAAUAGAAUAGCUCCUUUAGGAAGUGUCUUAGUCAUUUUGGGCUGCUAUAACAAAAAUGCUGUAUACUGGUGGCUUAAAUAACUAUUUAUCAUAAUUUUGGAGGCUGGGAAGUCCAAGAUCCAGACACUGGCAGAUCUGGCAUCAGGUGGGGGCCUGCUUCCUGGCUUAUAGACAGUUGCCUUCUUGCUGUAUCUUCACAUAGCUGAUGGAGAGAUCAUUUUGCUCUUAUGUCUUCUUAUAAGGGCACUCAUCCCAUUUGUGAAGGCUCCACCCUCAUGACCUGAUUACCUCCCCAAAGCACUACCUGCUAGUACCAUCACAUUGGGGAUUAGGCUUCAACCUAUACAUUUUAUGAGGAAAUGAACAAUCAGUCCAUAUCAGGGAGAAAUAAAUAUAUGUAACUAUAAUCACAAGUUAAGUAGUUAAAAUAAAAAAUAUCAAUAUCUUA
rnacentral:lncRNA from 1 species